rnacentral:rRNA from 1 species
UACGAAGGGGGCUAGCGUUGUUCGGAAUCACUGGGCGUAAAGGGCGCGUAGGCGGCUUUGUAAGUCGGGGGUGAAAGCCUGUGGCUCAACCACAGAAUUGCCUUCGAUACUGCAUGGCUUGAGACCGGAAGAGGUUAGUGGAACUGCGAGUGUAGAGGUGAAAUUCGUAGAUAUUGGGAAGAACACCGGUGGCGAAGGCGGCCAUCUGGACCGCAACUGACGCUGAGACGCGAAAGCGUGGGGAGCGAACAGG